rnacentral:rRNA from 1 species
ACGAUGAAGUUCCUUCGGGAAUGGAUUAGUGGCGAACGGGUGAGGAACACGUGAGAAACCUGCCUUUCAUUCUGGGAUAACACCGGGAAACCGGUGCUAAUACCGGAUACUCCAUCUUGGCGGCAUCGCCGAGCUGGGAAAAAAUUUUGAUGAAAGAUGGUCUCGCGGCCUAUCAGCUAGUUGGUGAGGUAAAGGCUCACCAAGGCGACGACGGGUAGCCGGCCUGAGAGGGCGACCGGCCACACUGGGACUGAGACACGGCCCAGACUCCUACGGGAGGCAGCAGUAGGGAAUAUUGGGCAAUGGGCGAAAGCCUGACCCAGCGACGCCGCGUGAGGGAUGAAGGUCUUCGGAUUGUAAACCUCUUUCAGUAGGGAAGAAGCGAAAGUGACGGUACCUAAAGAAGAAGCACCGGCUAACUAUGUGCCAGCAGCCGCGGUAAUACAUAGGGUGCAAGCGUUGUCCGGAAUUAUUGGGCGUAAAGAGCUCGUAGGUCGUUUGUCGCGUCGAUUGUGAAAAUCUGAGGCUCAACCUCAGACCUGCAGUCGAUACGGGCAAACUAGAGUGUGGUAGGGGAGACUGGAAUUCCUGGUGUAGCGGUGGAAUGCGCAGAUAUCAGGAGGAACACCAAUGGCGAAGGCAGGUCUCUGGGCCAUAACUGACACUGAGGAGCGAAAGUGCGGGGAGCGAACAGGAUUAGAUACCCUGGUAGUCCGCACCGUANACGGUGGGCACUAGUUGUGGGAACCUUCCACGGUUUCCGCGACGCAGCAAACGCAUUAAGUGCCCCGCCUGGGGAGUACGAUCGCAAGAUUAAAACUCA